rnacentral:rRNA from 1 species
GAUCCUAACAAAUCCUUUAAACACAUAGGUUUGGUCCCAGCCUUAAAAUCAAUUAUUUCUCAACUUACACAUGCAAGUCUCCGCACACCCGUGAGAACACCCUUUACCCCACCUAGGAAUAAGGAGCUGAUAUCAGGCACAAUAACUGCCCAAAACAUCUAGCAACGCCACACCCACAAGGGCACCCAGCAGUGAUUAACAUUAAAAAUUAACGUCAGUUUGAUUUAGUUAUUGAACAUAGAGCCGGCUAAUCUGGUGCCAGCCGCCGCGGUUACACCAAGUGGCUCAAAUUGAUUACACACGGCGUAAAGCGUGAUUAAAGAAUCCCCCUACUGGAGUGAAACUUAAACUAAACUGUAAAACGCUUGUUCUUAAGAAACCCGAUACGAAAGAUACUCCAAAACACCCACUUGAACCCACGACAGCCAGAACACAAACUGGGAUCAGAUACCCCACUAUGUCUAGCCGUAAACUUUAACUUACCCCUAACC